GCGACCCCAGGUCAGGCGGGACUACCCGCUGAGUUUAAGCAUAUCAAUAAGCGGAGGAAAAGAAACUAACAAGGAUUCCCUUAGUAGCUGCGAGCGAACCGGGAGUGCCCAGCGUGAAAAUCUGGCGG
rnacentral:rRNA from 1 species